rnacentral:rRNA from 1 species
UAGGGAAUAUUAGUAAUGGGCGAAAGCCUGAACUAGCAACGCCGCGUGUGCGAAGAAGGCCUUCGGGUUGUAAAGCACUUUUUGAGAGGAUGAGGAAGGACGGUACUCUCAGAAUAAGUCUCGGCUAACUACGUGCCAGCAGCCGCGGUAACACGUAGGAGGCGAACGUUAUCCGGAUUUACUGGGCGUAAAGCGCGUGUAGGUGGUUUGGUAAGUAGGGCGUGAAAGCUCCUGGCUCAACUGGGAGAGGCCGUUCUAAACUGCCGAAAUAGAGGAUGGUAGAGGGAGGUGGAAUUUCGGGUGUAGCGGGGGAAUGCGCAGAUAACCGGAGGAACACCAGGUGCGAAAGCGGCCUCCUGGACCAUUCCUGACACUCAGACGCGAAAGCUAGGGUAGCAAACGG